rnacentral:rRNA from 1 species
UACGUAGGGUGCAAGCGUUGUCCGGAAUUAUUGGGCGUAAAGAGCUCGUAGGCGGUUUGUUGCGUCGGCUGUGAAAUCCCGAGGCUCGACCUCGGGUCUGCAGUCGAUACGAGCAAACUAGAGUGUUGCAGGGGAGACUGGAAUUCCUGGUGUAGCGGUGAAAUGCGCAGAUAUCAGGAGGAACACCGAUGGCGAAGGCAGGUCUCUGGGCCAUAACUGACGCUGAGAAGCGAAAGCAUGGGGAGCGAACAGG